rnacentral:rRNA from 1 species
AGGGAUGAACGCUGGCGGCGUGCUUAACACAUGCAAGUCGAACGAUGAAGGCUGGAGCUUGCUCUGGCUGGAUUAGUGGCGAACGGGGUGAGUAACACGUGAGUAACCUGCCCCAGACUCUGGGAUAAGCGCUGGAAACGGCGUCUAAUACCGGAUACGAGCUUCCACCGCAUGGUGAGGAGCUAGGAAAGAAUUUCGGUCUGGGAUGGACUCGGCGG